GAUGAAGAACGUAGCGAAAUGCGAUACGUAGUGUGAAUUGCAGAAUUCAGUGAAUCAUCGAAUCUUUGAACGCACAUUGCACCUCUCGGUAUUCCGGGAGGUAUGCCUGUUCGAGCGUCAUUUGUACCCUCAAGCUCUGCUUGGUGUUGGGUGUUUGUUCCGCCUCUGUGUGUGAACUCGCCUCAAAACAAUUGGCAGCCGGCGUACUUGUUUCGGAGUGCAGCACAUUUUGCGAUCCAGAUCAACGUACAGCGGCAUCCAAGAAGCCUUAUUUAACGCUCUUGACCUCGGAUCAGGUAGGGAUACCCGCUGAACUUAAGCAUAUCAAUAAGCGGAGGA
rnacentral:misc_RNA from 1 species